rnacentral:rRNA from 1 species
UACGAAGGGGGCUAGCGUUGUUCGGAAUUACUGGGCGUAAAGCGCGCGUAGGCGGACCUGCAAGUCGGGGGUGAAAGCCCGAGGCUCAACCUCGGAACUGCCUUCGAUACUGCGGGUCUCGAGUCCGGGAGAGGUGAGUGGAAUUCCUAGUGUAGAGGUGAAAUUCGUAGAUAUUAGGAAGAACACCAGUGGCGAAGGCGGCUCACUGGCCCGGUACUGACGCUGAGGUGCGAAAGCGUGGGGAGCAAACAGG